UACGAAGGGUGCAAGCGUUACUCGGAAUUACUGGGCGUAAAGCGUGCGUAGGCGGUUUGUUAAGUCCGUUGUGAAAGCCCUGGGCUCAACCUGGGAAUUGCAGUGGAUACUGGCGAGCUAGAGUGCGGUAGAGGAUGGUGGAAUUCCCGGUGUAGCGGUGAAAUGCGUAGAGAUCGGGAGGAACACCCGUAGCGAAGGCGGCCAUCUGGACCAGCACUGACGCUGAGGCACGAAAGCGUGGGGAGCAAACAGG
rnacentral:rRNA from 1 species